UGAGGAAUAUUGGACAAUGGAUGGAAAUCUGAUCCAGCCAUGCCGCGUGAAGGACGACGGUCCUAUGGAUUGUAAACUUCUUUUGUAUGGGAGCAAUAAGGUCUACGUGUAGAUCGAUGAGAGUACCAUACGAAUAAGCAUCGGCUAACUCCGUGCCAGCAGCCGCGGUAAUACGGAGGAUGCGAGCGUUAUCCGGAUUUAUUGGGUUUAAAGGGUGCGUAGGCGGUUGUAUAAGUCAGCGGUGAAAUUUUCCGGCUUAACCGGGAGACUGCCGUUGAUACUGUAUAGCUUGAAUACGGUUGCUGUGAGUGGAAUGUGUGGUGUAGCGGUGAAAUGCAUAGAUAUCACACAGAAUAUCGAUUGCGAAGGCAGCUCACAAAGCCGUUAUUGACGCUGAUGC
rnacentral:rRNA from 1 species